rnacentral:lncRNA from 1 species
GGUGUAUGUAUGCCGAUAUAUAUCUAUAUCCAUCCUUAUUUAAACAGCAUUUCCAUCCCUUGUUAUCUACUGCUACCUCUUUAGGUAUUAUUUUUUUCUUGAACACGCUCAUUUAGGCGCCUUCCUUUUGUGGGCCACUGAAUUUUAAGCAAUAAUGAAUGGUUGCCACCUCCGAGCUCCCUAAAAUCUCACAAAACAUGAAUGUUUUUAGAUAGUGGAACAAAAUCUCGGCUUUCUCCUCCGCAAAGAGAAGGAAUUAGUUCACAUUGUUACUAAACAUAGUCAAACGCUACACAAUCUUAGGACAAUGUUUGUUGAAACAUAA